rnacentral:rRNA from 1 species
UUCAUCCAAAGCUAAAUAUUGGCGAGAGACCGAUAGCGAACAAGUACCGUGAGGGAAAGGUGAAAAGCACCCCGACAAGGGGAGUGAAAGAGUACCUGAAACCGAUUGCCUACAAACAGUGGGAGCCUGCAAUGGUGACCACGUACCUUUUGUAUAAUGGGUCAGCGACUUAGUGUAGCGAGCAAGCUUAAGCCGGUAGGUGGAGGCGCAGCGAAAGCGAGUCUGAACAGGGCGUUCAGUU